rnacentral:rRNA from 1 species
ACUAAUAAUAUUACAUAUUAUUUUGUAUUUUUUAGCAGUGAAAAUUAUUUUAUUAGUUUAAUAAUUAGUUAGUUGUACUUUUUGAAUAACGGUUUCUCCAAAACUAUGUAUUUUUAACCCGAAAUAGUAAGAUCUAUAAAUUUAUAAAAUUAAUGUAGCAAAAUUAAUUUAGAAUUCAUUUAUAGGAGCGAAAAACUUUCAAUUACUAUAAUAUCUGGAUUUCCACGAAAAGUAUUUAGUGCUCUAAAGGCAAUCAGUAAGUGAUUAGAUUUACUGAAAAGAAUAUUAUUGAUGUUAGUGAAUUUUUGGAUUAAUCUCCCCAAAUUUGACUUACUGCAAUUAUUUAUUAGAUUAAAUUUCUAUUUUAGUGGGACAGAUUAACUUAAUUAAAGUUUAUGGGAAAAUUAGUAAAAUUAUUAAAAGAGUGUAAGGAACUCGGCAAAUUUAGAUUUCGACUGUUUACCAAAAACAUAGCCCUAAGAAUUGAUUUAGGGUACAACCUGCCCAAUGAGAUAUUGAAUGGCCGCGGUACUUUGACCGUGCUAAGGUAGCAUAAUCAAUUGACUUUUAAAUGAAGUCUGGAAUGAAUGGGAAAACGGAAUUUAGCUGUCUCACAACUCUUUAAUUUGAAGUUACUAACUAGGUGAAAAGGCCUAGGAAAGAUAAAGGACGAGAAGACCCUAAGAGUUUUUUAUAUAUAUUUUGUUGGGGCAACAAAAGGUCAUAUUAAAUACCUUAUAUAAAUAAGACGGAUUUAUCAUGUUCAGAUAAACUACCUUAGGGAUAACAGCAUAAUUUUCUUUGAGUUUGUGACCUCGAUGUUGGACUAGGAAGCCUUUAGGCUAGCUGCCUAAACAGGGGAUUCUGUUCGAAUUUUUACUCCUACAUGAUCUGAGUUCAGACCGGCGUAAGCCAGGUCAGUUUCUAUCCUUUAAAUGUAAGACCCUAGUACGAAAGGACCGGGCCUUGAUUUGUAAAAAU